UAAGUCCAGGAUCAUUGGAGACACUGAACU
rnacentral:piRNA from 1 species